CCUGAAAGUCCCACAAGAUGACAUGCUGCAUUUCUCCAGGAGUUUCCAGAGAUGGUGGAUUUUAUGGGAGCAACAGUGAAGUGCUUGUUGACAUUGCUCCUGAGAGCAGAGUGCGGGUCCAACCGGGACACUGUGCCCUCACACUCCCUCCAGCCCAAGUCAGCACCACCAAUGAACCCUUCAGAAUAUCUUGCCACUAUAAGGAAGCCAGCUGCAACAUGCUUCCCGCUACGAAGUCUUGCUGCUCCCCAAACAAUUGGAUGUGUCCCUCUCGUACUGGAUCCUGCAGAGGAUGGACUGGUUCAUCAAGUCUUGGGACGCGAGUAGGAAUACAGCCACAAAGCUGUGAAGUGGUUUUCCCAGGGGGAUAUCUGUGUAGCAAUGUUCAUAAUGGAAAAGUCUCCUGCUGCCAGGCCUGCAAACCAUGUUAGUCCCCAAUGCAGUCUACGAAACACACAAUAAAUGGGACAUGUAAAAUGCU